rfam:Camelus ferus unplaced genomic scaffold scaffold2639, whole genome shotgun sequence.
CCAAAGGCUCUUUUAAGAGCCACUUCCAUUCUCACUAAGGGUGGCU